rnacentral:rRNA from 1 species
GUCUGUGGCCAUACCACCCUGAAUGCACCCGAUCUUGUCUGAUCUCAGAAGCUAAGCAGGGGUGGGACUGGUUAGUACCUGGAUGGGAGAAAACCAUCUAGAAAAGAAUCAAGAAUCAGGUU